GUGAUGAUUGGGAUGCAGAUCAACAGAUGAUUCCUGGGAAAAAUUUACUUCUGCCACUAGAAGUCCAGAUAUUAUUGUUACUUGUACAACUGGGAUUAACAACAAGACUUUUGUCAGCACCUGCAGGAAAUCCGCCACCGAAUCCACCAAGAAAUCCGGCGCACAGUCCUUCUGCUCGGGGCUCUGGCUUCCCGGUAGCGCUGAGCCUCGUCCAGGGUGGAGACGCCGGUGAGCGUCACGACGGUGGGAAAGGCCACAGUUGCUGCCCGAACAGAAUGUCCGUCUCCAGCCGGUCUCCGAUCAUCAGCGAGCGGGACGGGUCCAGGUCGAACUGACUGGAGAUGCAGUCGAACAUGAAGCGGCUGGGCUUCCCGAUCACUGUGGCCUUCCUGCUGCUGGCCGUUUCUAGAGCCGCCGUCAGACUGCCAGAACCUGCACAGCAUUGUCCAACACUGAAUGAGCAGCUCACAAAACAAUCAGCUUCCAGAGACACUCAAUGCACACACACAGCCUCUCUAUCAACACACACACACACACACACACAGGACAGAGAUGCUUUCUCUGGUAUUACAUGCAGCUAGUCACAUUACAUUUAAUUCUUUUAGAUUUUUUCCCCAAUUUCUGUUCAACAGAAGGAUUUCUCAACAUUUCCACACAAUAGUUAAUUAGGCAGGUUAUUGAAUAAUGAGGGUUUGUUCUGCAGACAAUCAGAAGCAAAUAUAGCUUAAAGCGGCUAAUAAUAUUGAUCUUAAAAUGGCUUUUAAAAAAUUUAAACCUGCUUUUAUUCUAGCCGAAAUAAAACUCUCCAGAAGAAAAAAUAUUAUAGGAAAUACUGUGAAAAAUUCCUUUGGAAACUCCUUUAUUUCAUUUGGGAAAUAUUGAAAAAGAAUUACAAAUCCACAGGGCUAAGCAUCUGAUAAUACGAUAAUAAACCAAAUCACAAGCAAACAGUGGAGCAAAGAUACAAAUAAAAGCAACCUUUAUAGAGCUUAUCGGGGAGUCUAGCGGUACACUAAUGUAAUAAUCACAUGUGAAGUAGUUAGGGGUGUUACGGAUCGCAACCCACAUUUUGAACCGCAUGUGACCCGUGGAUUAAGAACUUUCUGAACUUGCAGAGAGAUCGCAUCCUGCGUCAUUCACAUCACGUGUGUGAAAGCAUUCAGCCUUUCCUGUAAAAUAUAAUGACGGAAGUUAGACCGAAAUGCUUUCUGAGGUUAUUAAAGGUGUUUUCUGUCA